rnacentral:rRNA from 1 species
CAGCCGCCGCGGUAAUUCGUAGGGUGCGAGCGUUACUCGGAUUUACUGGGCGUAAAGCGUGCGCAGGCGGCCCGUUAAGACAGGUGUGAAAUCCCUGGGCUCAACCUAGGAAUUGCGCUUGUGACUGGCGGGCUCGAGUACGGUAGAGGGGGGUGGAAUUCCUGGUGUAGCAGUGAAAUGCGUAGAGAUCAGGAGGAACACCGAUGGCGAAGGCAGCCCCCUGGGCCUGUACUGACGCUCAUGCACGAAAGCGUGGGGAGCAAACAGGAUUAGAUACCCUGGUAGUCCACGCCCUAAACGAUGGGUACUAGCCGUUUGGUGCGCGAUAGCGCUGAGUGGCGAAGCUAACGCGUGAAGUACCCCGCCUGGGGAGUACGGCCGCAAGGUUGAAACUUAAAGGAAUUGGCGGG